rnacentral:rRNA from 1 species
GUCGAGCGAUUUCUUUGGAGCUUGCUCCAAGAAGUUAGCGGCGGACGGGUGAGUAACACGUGGGCAAUCUGCCCGUAAGACUGGGAUAACUCCGGGAAACCGGGGCUAAUACCGGAUAAUCCCGACUCUCUCCUGAGAGUCGGCUGAAAGAUGGUUUCGGCUAUCACUUACGGAUGAGCCCGCGGCGCAUUAGCUAGUUGGUGAGGUAACGGCUCACCAAGGCGACGAUGCGUAGCCGACCUGAGAGGGUGAUCGGCCACACUGGGACUGAGACACGGCCCAGACUCCUACGGGAGGCAGCAGUAGGGAAUCUUCCGCAAUGGACGAAAGUCUGACGGAGCAACGCCGCGUGAGUGAAGAAGGUUUUCGGAUCGUAAAACUCUGUUGUUAGGGAAGAACACGUACGAGAGUAACUGCUCGUACCUUGACGGUACCUAACCAGAAAGCCACGGCUAACUACGUGCCAGCAGCCGCGGUAAUACGUAGGUGGCAAGCGUUGUCCGGAAUUAUUGGGCGUAAAGCGCGCGCAGGUGGUUCCUUAAGUCUGAUGUGAAAGCCCCCG